rnacentral:rRNA from 1 species
AGUUGUAAUUUGUAGAGGGCACUUCGGGCGCGCGUCCGGCCUAAGUUCCUUGGAACAGGGCGUCAUAGAGGGUGAGAAUCCCGUACGUGGCCGGCCGUCACCCCGUGUGAAGUCCCUUCGACGAGUCGAGUUGUUUGGGAAUGCAGCUCAAAAUGGGUGGUAAAUUCCAUCUAAAGCUAAAUACCGGCCAGAGACCGAUAGCGCACAAGUAGAGUGAUCGAAAGAUGAAAAGCACUUUGAAAAGAGAGUCAAACAGUAUGUGAAAUUGUUGAAAGGGAAGCGCUGGCAACCAGACGUGCCCGCGGGCGAUCACCCGGCCUUCGGGUCGGCGCACUCGCCCGCGAUCAGGCCAGCAUCGGUUUCGGCGGCCGGACAAAGGCGCGCGGGAACGUAGCUUCCUCCGGGGAGUGUUAUAGCCCGUGCCGCAAUGCGGCCCGCCGGGACCGAGGACCGCGCUUCGGCUAGGAUGCUGGCGUAAUGGUUGUCAGCGACCCGUCUUGAAACACGGACCAAGGAGUCUAACAUCCAUGCGAGUGUUUGGGCGUCAAACCCAUGCGCGGAAUGAAAGUGAACGGAGGUGGGAGCCUCGGCGCACCAUCGACCGAUCCUGAUGUCUUCGGAUGGAUUUGAGUAUGAGCAUGGCUGUUGGGACCCGAAAGAUGGUGAACUAUACGUGAAUAGGGUGAAGCCAGAGGAAACUCUGGUGGAGGCUCGCAGCGGUUCUGACGUGCAAAUCGAUCGUCAAAUUUGCGUAUAGGGGCGAAAGACUAAUCGAACCAUCUAGUAGCUGGUUCUUGCCGAAGUUUCCCUCAGGAUAGCAGUAACGUUUUCAGUUUUAUGAGGUAAAGCGAAUGAUUAGAGGCCUUGGGGUUGAAACAACCUUAACCUAUUCUCAAACUUUAAAUAUGUAAGAAGUCCUUGUUACUUUGUUGAACGUGGACAUUCGAAUGUACCGUUACUAGUGGGCCAUUUUUGGUAAGCAGA